UACAGAGGUCCCAAGCGUUGUUCGGAUUCACUGGGCGUAAAGGGUGCGUAGGCGGUCAUGUAAGUCGGAUGUGAAAUCCCGUCGCUUAACGCUGGAACUGCAUUCGAUACUGCCGUGCUUGAGGACUGGAGAGGAGACUGGAAUUUACGGUGUAGCGGUGAAAUGCGUAGAUAUCGUAAGGAAGACCAGUGGCGAAGGCGGGUCUCUGGACAGUUCCUGACGCUGAGGCACGAAGGUCAGGGGAGCAAACGGG
rnacentral:rRNA from 1 species